rnacentral:rRNA from 1 species
AUUGAACGCUGGCGGCAUGCCUUACACAUGCAAGUCGAACGGCAACGGGGGAGAAGCUUGCUUUUCCUGCCGGCGAGUGGCGAACGGGUGAGUAAUACAUCGGAACGUGCCCUGUAGUGGGGGAUAACUAGUCGAAAGAUUAGCUAAUACCGCAUACGACCUGAGGGUGAAAGUGGGGGACCGCAAGGCCUCAUGCUAUAGGAGCGGCCGAUGUCUGAUUAGCUAGUUGGUGGGGUAAAGGCCUACCAAGGCGACGAUCAGUAGCUGGUCUGAGAGGACGAUAAGCCACACGGGGACUGAGACACGGCCCAGACUCCUACGGGAGGCAGCAGUGGGGAAUUUUGGACAAUGGGCGAAAGCCUGAUCCAGCAAUGCCGCGUGUGUGAAGAAGGCCUUCGGGUUGUAAAGCACUUUUGUCCGGAAAGAAAUGGCUCUGGUUAAUACCUGGGGUCGAUGACGGUACCGGAAGAAUAAGGACCGGCUAACUACGUGCCAGCAGCCGCCGUAAGAC